AGCAGCCGCGGUAAUUCCAGCUCCAAUAGCGUAUAUUAAAGUUGUUGCAGUUAAAAAGCUCGUAGUUGAAUUUCGGGAUCAAGGAAUCGGUCAUGCCUCGGUAUGUACUGGUUUUAUUGGUUCUCACCUUCUAAAGAACCAUAAUGUCAUUCAUUUGAUGUUAUGGGGAAUUAGGACUGUUACCUUGAAAAAUUAGAGUGUUUAAAGCAGGCUCGCGCUUGAAUACAUUAGCAUGGAAUAAUGAAAUAGGACGUUUGAUUCUAUUUUGUUGGUUUCUAGGAUCGACGUAAUGAUUAAUAGGGAUAGUUGGGGGCAUUAGUAUUCAAUUGUCAGAGGUGAAAUUCUUGGAUUUAUUGAAGACUAACUACUGCGAAAGCAUUUGCCAAGGAUGUUUUCAUUAAUCAAGAACGAAAGUUAGGGGAUCGAAGACGAUCAGAUACCGUCGUAGUCUUAACCAUAAACUAUGCCGACUAGGGAUCGGAUGAUGUUAAUUUUUAAUGACUCA
rnacentral:rRNA from 1 species